rnacentral:rRNA from 1 species
AGAGAAUAGAUACCCUGGUAGUCCAUGCUGUAAACGAUGAGAACUAGAUGUUAGGGGGCAUGACCUCUUAGUAUCGAAGCUAACGCGAUAAGUUCUCCGCCUGGGGAGUACGGCCGCAAGGUUAAAACUCAAAGAAAUUGACGGGGGCCCGCACAAGCGGUGGAGCAUGUGGUUUAAUUCGAUGCAACGCGAAGAACCUUACCUACCUUUGAAUCCACGGAACCUAGCAGAGAUGUUGGGGUGCCUUCGGGAGCCGUGAGACAGGUGCUGCAUGGCUGUCGUCAGCUCGUGUCGUGAGAUGUUGGGUUAAGUCCCGUAACGAGCGCAACCCUUGUCCUUAGUUGCCAUCAGGUUAUGCUGGGCACUUUAAGGAGACUGCCGGUGAUAAACCCGGAGGAAGGUGGGGAUGACGUCAAGUCCUCAUGGCCCUUACAGGUAGGGCUACACACGUGCUACAAUGGGCAGUACAGAGGGAAGCCAACCCGGCGAGGGGUAGCGAAUCUCAUAAAGCUGUUCGUAGUCCGGAUUGGAGU